rnacentral:rRNA from 1 species
CCUACGGGGUGCAGCAGUAGGGAAUCUUCGUCAAUGGGCGCAAGCCUGAACGAGCAAUGCCGCGUGAACGAGGAAGGUCUUCGGAUCGUAAAGUUCUGUUGAAGGGGAAAAAGAGCGGAGAGAGGAAAUGGUCUCCGAUUGAUAUUACCCUUCGAGGAAGUCACGGCUAACUACGUGCCAGCAGCCGCGGUAAUACGUAGGUGGCGAGCGUUAUCCGGAAUGAUUGGGCGUAAAGGGUGCGUAGGCGGCCUGCUAAGUCUGGAGUGAAAGGUACCGGCUCAACCGGUACAGGAUCUGGAAACUGGCGGGCUAGAGAGCAGGAGAGGGCGGUGGAACUCCAUGGGUAGCGGUAAAAUGCGUAGAUAUAUGGAAGAACACCAGUGGCGAAGGCGGCCGCCUGGCCUGUUACUGACGCUGAGGCACGAAAGCGUGGGGAGCAAAUAGGAUUAGAUACCCCUGUAGUC